rnacentral:rRNA from 1 species
GGAGGGAUCAUUACCGAGUUCAUGCCCUUACGGGUAGAUCUCCCACCCUAUGUUAUUAUUACCUUUGUUGCUUUGGCGGGCCGCUAGAUUUCGGUCAGGCUACCGGCUCCGGCUGGUAAGCGCCCGCCAGAGGACCCCAAACCCUGAAUAUUAGUGUCGUCUGAGUACUAUAUAAUAGUUAAAACUUUCAACAACGGAUCUCUUGGUUCUGGCAUCGAUGAAGAACGCAGCGAAAUGCGAUAAGUAAUGUGAAUUGCAGAAUUCAGUGAAUCAUCGAAUCUUUGAACGCACAUUGCGCCCCUUGGUAUUCCGAGGGGCAUGCCUGUUCGAGCGUCAUUACAACCCUCAAGCACUGCUUGGUAUUGGGCUCCGCUUCUUAUACAGCGGGCCUUAAAAUUAGUGGCGGUGUCAUUAGGCCCUGAGCGUAGUAAAUAUCCUCGCUAUAGGGACUUGGUGAUUACUGGCCAGCAAUCCCCAACUUUCUAAGUUUGAC